rnacentral:pre_miRNA from 1 species
GGCUGCAACACGGGAUAUGGGAGCUGCUCAUUUUACCCUCGUGUCUUGUGUUGCAGCCAG